rnacentral:rRNA from 1 species
UACGUAGGGUGCGAGCGUUGUCCGGAAUUACUGGGCGUAAAGAGCUCGUAGGUGGUUUGUCGCGUUGUCCGUGAAAACUCACAACUCAAUUGUGGGCGUGCGGGCGAUACGGGCAGACUGGAGUACUGCAGGGGAGACUGGAAUUCCUGGUGUAGCGGUGGAAUGCGCAGAUAUCAGGAGGAACACCGGUGGCGAAGGCGGGUCUCUGGGCAGUAACUGACGCUGAGGCACGAAGGCCAGGGGAGCAAACGGG